rnacentral:rRNA from 1 species
UACGUAGGGUGCGAGCGUUAAUCGGAAUUACUGGGCGUAAAGUGUGCGCAGGCGGCCGAGCAAGUCGAGUGUGAAAGCCCCGAGCUUAACUUGGGAACUGCGCUCGAAACUACUUGGCUAGAGUGUGGCAGAGGGAGGUGGAAUUCCUGGUGUAGCGGUGAAAUGCGCAGAUAUCAGGAGGAACACCAAUUGCGAAGGCAGCUCGCUGGGACGUUACUGACGCUGAGACGCGAAAGCGUGGGGAGCAAACAGG